rnacentral:tRNA from 1 species
AGAAAGAUAAGCUAAUAAAAGCUAUUAGGUUCAUACCCUAAAUAUAGAAUUAUAUUCUUCUUUCUA